UAGAAACACAUCUGGAUGGAAUGGAUCCAGAGGGAAACCAACCAGAGAAAGGGAUCCGUAGAGCAUUGUUUCCAGUAUUUUGGACACGCAUUCACAAUAAGAAAGGUGAAAUAUGGAACACAGAACACACACAGAACACUCAGAAGAGGAUGGCAUAAUUCUCAGGUCAGGG